UGGAAAUUCAAUAUUCAUGCAAUUUCAUAUUUAAUUUUCAUAUUAUUUUGUUAUUGAGAUCUACGUUGAUUUUUUAUUGCAAAAUAAUUAUUUGUUAGUUUGAAUAAUUUAAGUCUGUAAUUGCUUGGGUUAUUCUUACAUGAGAACACUUGGGAUAAAACCCAAGGAAAUUGCAUGAUCUAGCGUUAUCUCCAUACGUUUGGGUAGUUAGGAUUGGAUCUCUCUAUUUCUUAAUGCAAUUGGCAAUUGUUUUGAUGCCUAAGGCCCAAGGACGUUCCUUGGCAAUUUGUUAAUUAGUAAUUAAUCAGAGGACGUUCCCUAAUUAAUUUAAUCAUAAGGAGAGAUAAUGGUGGUGAGAAGCGUCUUCCAUCUCCAUAAACUAAUCUAUUGAAUCAACCCAAAAGAACAAAGUGUCUGUGAUCAAUCCCAACAACUAAAGUGGAUCCAAUACUUCAACUAGAACUUUCUCAUUAUUGAUUGCUCUUUAUUUUAUUACUUGCUUUCCUUUAUUAUUCUCAAUUUUAGUUUACUACAAUCAAUCUCAAACCCCCCUAUUAUUUUGUUGACAGUUUUUUAUCCCAAUUUUCAGUUUAUCUCAUUUGAUCCCACUUUCAGUUUUUAUCUCAUUUUUUGUUUAUUGUUAUUUCAGUUAAUUCUCUUGGUCUUGUUGAGAAAAAUAAAUAAGUUUUCAAUUCUCUGUGGAUUCGAUCCUUUCACCACUAUUUGCAGUUGUAAAUUGUUGAUAACCAGAAAGGUUAUUUUUGACCAGCUUCGACAACCGCGAGUCAAAAAUUGGCGCCGUUGCCCGGGAAUUGAUUUUACUUGUUUAAUUUUCUUUUCAUGACCAGAUCUGAACGCAGGGGCACACUGCCCUUUGAUCCAGAAAUUGAACGCACUCUCAGAAGACUUAGAAAGCAAGCCGCAGAAGCUUCAUCUGAAGCAACCGAAUUUUACCAACAAGCUGCACCAAUGGCAGAACCUCAAGCACUAGCUCCUGCCCAUAAUGGACAUGCUGUUCAAGACCAAAUAGUUCAAGAAAAUCCAGCAGUUAGGCCCCAAGAAUAAAGAGAAAGAACCAUGAGGGAGUUAGCAAUACCCGUAGGUGAUCAUGCACCACUUUGCAUCGCCUACCCGCCUCUAACAGUUGCCUUUGAACUAAAAUCAGGUUUGAUUCAUCAUCACCCUAAAUUUAGAGGUUUGUAAAAUGAAAAUCCACACAAGCACUUGAAAGAAUUCAACAUUGUCUGUUCAUCUAUGACACCUCAAGGUGUUUCUGAAGAUCAUGUUAAAUUAAGAUCUUUCCCUUUUUCAUUAGAUGACUAUGCUAAAGAUUGGUUAUUUUAUUUGCCACCUAGAUCUAUAACUUCAUGGGCUGAUAUGGUCCAAACCUUUUUGGACAAAUACUUUCCCCCAUCUAAAUCAAUUGGCAUAAUAAGAGAAAUCACUAGCAUAAAACAAAAACCAACUGAAGACUUAUAUGAUUAUUGGGAAAGGUUUGAAAGACUUUGCACAGGUUGUCCACAACAUGAUAUGUCAGACAGGUCACUUAUGCAAUUCUUCUAUGGAGAAUUAACCCCUUCCGAAAGGAGAUAUAUUGACGUAGCUUGUGGAGGAUCCAUUGCAGGCAAAACACCAAGAGAGAUGAAAGAACUAAUCUCCACUCUUGCAGCCUCAUCUAGGCAAUAUGGAGAAGAAAAGCAAAGAGGAGUCUAUGAGGUAAGUACAUCCGCUUUUGAAUAUCAGGUUUCAAAACUGACUUCUCUUGUGGAAAAGAUUGUCCUUAGCCAAGCUCAACAAGCUCAAGCAAUUCCACCACCUAGGCCAUGUGGGAUCUGUGCCUAUGAAGGCCACCCAACUGAUCAAUGUCCCACAUUCCAAGAAGACCAUCACCAAGUCAAUGCUAUUGGAAGGUACAACAACCAGCCUAGACAUGAUCCAUAUUCUAAUACAUACAAUCCUAGUUGGAGAGACCAUCCCAAUUUCAGCUAUGGAAAGUCCAACAAUACUCAGAAUUACCAAAACUACCAAAGAGACCAAGGUCAACCAGCACCUUCAAGAUCAGACUAGCACCUUGAAAAGAUAAUGGAGUCCUUCGUAAGUACUUUACAGACCAUCACUCAGCGUCUGGACGGAUUGGACACAUCCGUUAGAAGAAUUGAAUCCCAAGGUAAGCUCCCUUCUCAAACUGAAACCAAUCCCAGACAAAAUGUCAGUGCCAUUACUUUGAGAAGUGGGAAAGAACUUCAAGAUGCUAGAUGUGAGGAAGAAAAGCGAAGACCAACACAAUCUGAAACCAUCCUUGUGCCCUCUGAAACACUUGCACAAGAGCCAAAGUCACCUGAAGCCUCUCCAACGCCAUCUGCAGCUCCCCCUGUACAAAAGACUAAUCCAAAGGUAAGCUUCCACAUUCCACUUCCUUUUCCGAAGAGAUUUGAAAGAACACAAAAAUAAAAAGAAGAAAAGGAGAUCCUUGAGACUUUCAGAAAAGUGGAAAUCAACAUACCACUGCUAGACGCUGUUAAGCAAAUUUUCAGGUACGCAAAAUUUCUAAAAGAGCUUUGCACUAAUAGAAGAAAGCUUGCUGAAAGAGAAAAAGUAAGUGUAGGUGAGGUAGUUACUGCAGUAAUCAAAAGAGAACUCCCUACUAAAUGCAAGGACAAAGGUAUGUUUGCUAUCUCUUGCAAAAUUGGGAAUGUUGGAAUUAAGAAAGCCAUGUGUGAUAUUGGUGCAUCCAUCAAUGUUAUGCCUCUCUCCAUCUAUAAAUCUCUCAAUGCAUGUGCACUCAAAGAAACAAGAGUUGUGAUUCAAUUAGCUGAUAGAUCUGUGGUAUAUCCCAUAGGUGUUCUAGAAGAUGUGUUAGUUCAAGUAAAUGAACUUGUCUUUCCUGCUGAUUUUUAUGUGAUUGAUACUAAGGAAGAUAGUUGCAAUGCUAGUUCUGACAUUCUUCUUGGACGUCCUUUCUUGAGUACUGCUAGAACUAAGAUUGAUGUGCAUGAUGGUACUCUCACUAUGGAAUUUGAAGGGGAAGUGAUUAAAUUUAAUGUCUAUGAUGCUAUGAAAUAUCCAUAUGAUAUGUCCCCUGUUUAUGAUCUUAAUAUUGUUGACUGCUUGAGCCAGGAAAUUUUUAAUGAAAAUCAAGAUGAUAUUCUUAACCGUGAUUUCUGCAGAGAUACUGGUCAGGUACAGAUUGAUAGCCAGACAGAGCCAGAACUAAAAGAAAUUGUCUGUAGCAUCCAAUAGAUAGUUUACAGUCAAGCAUAGAAUGAGGGAGACUCCCUCCAGAAAGAUGCGCAGAAGAGCCUUGCGCCAUCUGAAACACCUUCAUGCGCAACUCUUCAGCUCCCAACGCAAAGCUCACCCACCAAUCCUCUUCUGCAAUCCAGUUUUGCACACAAGGAGCCCCCUAAGGCCAGUCCUGCGCAAGGUAAGCAAUCUGAAACCCUUUCUGACAAGACUCCAACACAAGCAAGCUCUUCUAGUCCUCCUUUGCAACACCCUCCUGAAUCUGAAGAAUGUAAGGAUGAUCUCCUUGAACAAAUCUUCCUUGCUCAAACUGAUGAACCAUGGUACGCAGACAUGGUGAACUACUUGGCCACAGGUAACCUACCCUCUGACAUGCCAAGGCACACUAAAGACAAGAUAAAGAAAGAUGCCAAAUACUAUGUUUGGGAUGAGCCAUAUUUGUGGAAACAUUGUGCUGAUCAGAUGAUAAGGAGAUGUAUCCCAGAUCAAGAAAUAGCUUCUAUGCUUACUUUUUGUCAUUCAUAUAGCUGUGGUGGACACUUUGGUCCAAUAAAAAACUGCGCAUAAGAUACUUGAAAGUGGCCUAUUUUGGCCCAUUAUGUUUCGAGAUGCCUUUCUGUUUUGCAGAUCUUGUGCCAGAUGUCAACAAACUGGAAAUUUGAACAAAAGGAGUCAAAUGCCACAAAACCCCAUCAUGGUCUGUGACGUGUUUGAUGUAUGGGGUAUUGACUUCAUGGGCCCAUUCCCACCAUCCUUUGGAUACACUUACAUCAUCCUUGCAGUGGAUUAUGUGUCCAAAUGGGUGGAAGCUAGAGCAACAAAGACUGAUGAUGCUAAAGCAGUUAUAGACUUUGUGAAGACCAACAUUUUUGCCAGACAUGGAGCACCAAAAGCAAUCAUCAGUGAUAGGGGGACCCACUUUUGCAACAAGGUAGUAGGAAGUCUUCUCAAAAAGCACAAUGUGAUCCAUAGAACAUCCACAGCCUACCACCCUCAGACAAAUGGGCAAGCUGAAGUAUCCAAUAGAGAAAUCAAAGCCAUCCUUGAAAAGACGGUUUCUCCUAACCGAAAGGAUUGGAGCUCAAGAUUGGAGGAUGCUUUAUGGGCCUACAGAACAGCCUACAAAACCCGCAUAGGUAUGUCUCCUUAUUGAUUGGUCUAUCGAAAAGCUUGUCACCUUUCAGUUGAACUUGAAUACAAGGCAUAUUGGGCUAUAAAGAAUUGCAACAUGGACCUCAAAGAAGCUGAACACCAUCGCAAGUUACAACUACAAGAGCUAGAAGAGAUAAGACGAGAUGCAUAUGAGAACUUUUGGAACUACAAAGCAAAAACCAAAGCCUCCCAUGACAGUCAUCUUUCAAGAAAACAAUUUGAGGUUGGUGAUAAAGUUUUACUCUUUGACUCUCGUUUGAAAUUGUUUUCAAGAAAGCUACGAUCUAGGUGGAUUGGACCAUUCAUUAUGGAACAUGCCUACCCCCAUGGAGCUGUAGACAUCAAAAGCAUAGAAACUGGAAAAAUCUUCAAAGUAAAUGGGCAUCGAUUGAAACCAUAUUAUGAAGGAUUCGCAGUACAAGUAGUGAAAGAAAUUCCACUCUCUCGGUCUAAGUAGUAAUCAUGCCAUGCACACCACACCCUAGGGGAGUACUCAGUUUCAUUUGUUCUCUUCUCUUCUCUUCUCUUUUUCUCUCUUCUUUUACAUUGAGGACAAUGCAUGAUUUAAGUGUGGGGGUGCAUAUAUCUUCCUCUCCUUCUCUUCUUCUUUCUUUCUAUCUUCUUCUUCUCUCUUUUGCAAUUUCUCCUUUCAGAAUUUUCAAAAAAAAAAAUAAAAAAAUAAAAAAAAAAAUAAAAAAAUAAAAAAAAUUAAAAAAAAAAAUUUCUUCUUCUCUCUUUUGCAAUUUCUCCUUUCAGAUUUUUCAAAAAAAAAAAAUAAAAUAAAAUAAAAAUUUAAAAAAAAAAUUUCAGUUAUACGAUUUAUCCUUUCAGUUUUCUUUCAGUUUAUUUUUGUUUUCAAUAAUACACACACAAACUCAACCAUCUUCUUCUUUUUGUUUUACUCUACUCAAAAUUGAUGAACUAUGUUGGAUGAGCUUUUCUUUCCAUGACCCCAUUGAUGUUAUGACUCUUUAAACUUAUGUUGAAUCAAUUGCAGUGAGUUAUAUUCAUACUUGAGAAUUGCUUUUUGAAUUGAAUCUUUGAGUUUGCCAUGGUGAAAAAUAUAUUGAUGACCCUCAAUUGAUUGAGAAUAAAUUAAAAUUGUGUGAAUGAACUUAAUGUGACAUGACAUGAUUUAGCGAUUGGUGUUGAUUUGCCCAAAUCAUUGAGAGAAAGCAAAUUCAGCAAAGGCAAAGACCUCAAAAGAACAAAUUGAAAAUUGUUCCAAUGGUCAAAAGACUAUGAAUAAGGCAAGUAGCCACUUGGAUAGGUGACCAACUGAAAAAUAUAAACCUUCAAAUCAAAAAUAGGUUGGUGACCUUUCCAAGCAAGAUCUAAAGUGCAAAAGCCUGAAUAAAGUACUUCAAGGUAAGGGCAAGUCAAUCCAAAAGCUAGAAAAAGUCUUAAACAAAUUAAUGUGCAUGUCUCUCUCGAGGAAAACAAAUCCUAGCCAUGGUAAGCAAAGGGAAACAAGGAAAGGAGGUAAGUAAUCUUCAUGCAUAUAUUAUUCACUGCAAUGCUUCAAAAUAGGUGUUUAGAGUAAGAGUUUAAGUGGAAAUAAGGAUCUAGAGUGAGAAAGCUUGUUUGACUAUGUUUAUUUGCUUGAGGACAAGUAAAAGGCUAAGUAUGGGGCUAUUUGAUAGAGCAUAAUUUAGUCCAUUUUAUAUUAAUAUUAUUAAUGAAUAUUUACAUGAUUUCUGUUUAAUUUAUUGCUUUUAAUAUUAUUUUGCAGAAAAUAGUGUAAAAGGACAAUUUGGAGAAAAUCCCCCUAAAACUGUCUUAUUUGGAGUAAAAGAGAGCAAGUCUGCCAAGCCGGAUUCAAGUCAAAAUAUUUUGGAAAUUAAAUAUUCAAGCUCAUUCUCUCACGUGGAUCAAGUCCAUUCUUGCACAUGGGCCGGCGCAUCCUCCGUAUGGACCGUUCACGCACACGGGAAUUCAUGGCCCGUGCACACCCACGCUUCACGCCAUUGGGCCCGCGUCAUCAACUCCAGCACCUUUCACUUGCACAUGGCCCACACCAAUCCAUCAAUUCACGCGAAUGGACCAAGCACAAAUCCUCAACCUUCACGCCGUGGCCCCCACCAGGCGCUCAACACUCACGCCCCAGCUCCCGCACACUCCUUCACCUUGGGCCAAGUGCGCAAAUGGACCAACACUCAUGCACAAGCUCAACGGGCAGCACUUCACAUGGACCAAAUGGACCCACCUUCAUCAUCCAUGCUCACCAGCACUUCAUGUGGACAAAUCACGCACGAGGACCCACCAACGGCUUCAACGCUCUCACACGUAGACCAAAAUUUCCAAUUUAGCAUCGCUCCUCUGCACCUAUUUAAAGAGCUCUUCAGCGAACAAUUGGGACAGAGAGAAUUUUCUCCAAUUCGGCAGUUUCCUCCAGCCUCGGCGCAAGAAUUCCUUCGGUUUUUAUUUAUUUUCUCUUUUAUUUAUUUUAUAUUUUUAAUUUAGCCAAUGAGUGGCUAAUUUCUUUCAUCUAAUUGAAUAUUGGUUGAAGUUUUAGUUGGUUAAUGGAUUGUGAGACUUGAUCAAAUAUUGUUUAAAUUUUGGGAAUUCAAUAUUCAUGCAAUUUCAUAUUUAAUUUUCAUAUUAUUUUGUUAUUGAGAUCUACGUUGAUUUUUUAUUGCAAAAUAAUUAUUUGUUAGUUUGAAUAAUUUAAAUCCGUAAUUGCUUGGGUUAUUCUUACAUGAGAACACUUGGGAUAAAACCCAAGGAAAUUGCAUGAUCUAGCGUUAUCUCCAUACAUUUGGGUAGCUAGGAUUGGAUCUCUCUAUUUCUUAAUGCAAUUGGCAAUUGUUUUGAUGCCUAAGGUCUAAGGACGUUCCUUAGCAAUUUGUUAAUUAGUAAUUAAUCAGAGGACGUUCCCUAAUUAAUUUAAUCAUAAGAAGAGAUAAUGGUGGUGAGAAGUGUCUUCCAUCUCCAUAAACUAAUCUAUUGAAUCAACCCAAAAGAACAAAGUGUCUGUGAUCAAUCUCAACAACUAAAGUGGAUCCAAUACUUCAACUGGAACUUUCUCAUUAUUGAUUACUCUUUAUUUUAUUACUUGCUUUCCUUUAUUAUUCUCAAUUUUAGUUUACUACAAUCAAUAUCAAACCCCCCUGUUAUUUUGUUGACAGUUUUUUAUUCCAAUUUUCAGUUUAUCUCAUUUGAUCCCACUUUCAGUUUUUAUCUCAUUUUUUAUUUAUUGUUAUUUCAGUUAAUUCUCUUGGUCUUGUUGAGAAAAAUAAAUAAGUUUUCAAUUCUCUGUAGAUUCGAUCAUUUCACCACUAUCUUCAGUUGUAAAUUGUUGAUAACCAGAAAGGUUAUUUUUGACCGGUUUCGACAACCGCGAGUCAAAAAUCACCUACAGAUUCAGAAUUUGGUUAAUUCAUAAAAGUUUUAGCUCUUUAUCUCAAAUUUAAUUUAGUAUAUUUUAGGCGUAAUUUUGAUAGCUACACAAUGAUUUAUGAAGUUGCUAACACAUACUGCCCUGUUAAAACCUAUCCUACUAGGUCUGCACUUUUAACUUCCAUGCUAAAUUUCUUUACUUAAAGCCUUUCAAAUACUAUUCCAACAUUCAUAGUACAUAUUUAUACAAUCAAACCAAUAUUUUCAGCAAGUAAAAUCAAUCCCUAAUUUCACAUAUUUAUGAGGAAAUCAAAGGAAAACAGAAAAAUCAUAUAAACACAAAAUCUUUUGC
rnacentral:lncRNA from 1 species